ensembl:lncRNA
GGACUAGUAACCAGCAGGUAGUCUAGUGGUUAGAGCGUUGGACUAGUAACCAGCAGGUAGCCUAGUGGUUAGAGCGUUGGACUAGUAACCAGCAGGUAGCCUAGUGGUUAGAGUGUUGGGUCAGUAACCAGCAGGUAGCCUAGUGGUUAGAGUGUUGGACUAGUAACCAGCAGGUAGUCUAGUGGUUAGAGUCUUGGACUAGUAACCAGCAGGAAGCCUAGUGGUUAGAGUGUUGGACUAGUAACUAGCAGGUAGUCUAGUGGUUAGAGUGUUGGGUCAGUAACCAGCAGGUAGCCUAGUGGUUAGAGCAUUGGGCCAGUAACUGAAAGGUUGCUAGAUCGAAGCCCCGAGGCAGUAAUCAGCAGGUAGUCUAGUGGUUAGGGCGUUGGGCCAGUAACCAGCAGGUAGCCUAGUGGUUAGGGCGUUGGGCCAGUAGCCAGCAGGUAGUCUAGUGGUUAGAGCGUUGGGCCAGUAACCAACAGGUAGCCUAGUGGUUAGAGCGUUGGGCCAGUAACCAACAGGUAGUCUAGUGGUUAGAGCGUUGGGCCAGUAACUGAAAGGUUGCUAGAUCGAAGCCCCUGACAAGGUAAAAGUCUGUUGUUGCUCCUGAACAAGGUUGUGUUACAGCCUUAAUCUAAAAUUCAUUAAUCUAAACACAAUCCCCCAUAAUCACUAAGCAAAAACUUUUUUUUUAUUAUUUUGCAAAUGUAUUAAAAAUAAAAAAAUAAAAUAUGACUUUUACUUCCGGUCAAAGUUUGGACACACCUUCUCAUUCAAGGGGUUUUCUUUAUUUGGACUAUUUUCUUCUCUGUCUCUACCUCUAUCUCUAUCUCUGUCU